GAUGAACGCUAGCGGCAGGCUUAACACAUGCAAGUCGAACGGCAGCACAGGUAGCAAUACUGGGUGGCGAGUGGCGCACGGGUGCGUAACGCGUAUGCAACCUACCUCUUACAGUGGGAUAGCCCAGAGAAAUUUGGAUUAAUACCGCAUAGUAUACAGAUUCAGCAUUGGGACUGUAUUAAACAUUUAUGGGUAAGAGAUGGGCAUGCGUUCUAUUAGUUAGUUGGAGUGGUAACGGCACCCCAAGACAGCGAUAGAUAGGGGCCCUGAGAGGGGGAUCCCCCACACUGGUACUGAGACACGGACCAGACUCCUACGGGAGGCAGCAGUGAGGAAUAUUGCGCAAUGGGCGAAAGCCUGACGCAGCCACGCCGCGUGAGCGAUGAAGGCCU
rnacentral:rRNA from 1 species